GAUGAACGCUGGCGGCGUGCCUAAUACAUGCAAGUCGAGCGAACAGACGAGGAGCUUGCUCCUCUGACGUUAGCGGCGGACGGGUGAGUAACACGUGGAUAACCUACCUAUAAGACUGGGAUAACUUCGGGAAACCGGAGCUAAUACCGGAUAAUAUAUUGAACCGCAUGGUUCAAUAGUGAAAGACGGUUUUGCUGUCACUUAUAGAUGGAUCCGCGCCGCAUUAGCUAGUUGGUAAGGUAACGGCUUACCAAGGCAACGAUGCGUAGCCGACCUGAGAGGGUGAUCGACCACACUGGAACUGAGACACGGUCCAGACUCCUACGGGAGGCAGCAGUAGGGAAUCUUCCGCGAUGGGCGAAAGCGUGACGGAGCAACGCCGCGGGAGUGAUGAAGGUCUUCGGAUCGUAAAACUCUGUUAUUAGGGAAGAACAAAUGUGUAAGUAACUAUGCACGUCUUGACGGUACCUAAUCAGAAAGCCACGGCUAACUACGUG
rnacentral:rRNA from 1 species